rnacentral:rRNA from 1 species
AUACGAAAGGUGCAAGCGUUGUUCGGAUUUACUGGGCGUAAAGAGAGUGUAGGUUGUUUAUUAAGUCGGAUGUGAAAUCCCGGGGCUCAACCUCGGAACUGCAUUCGAUACUGGUAGACUAGAGUUCGGGAGGGUAAGCGGAAUUCCGUGUGUAGCAGUGAAAUGCGUAGAUGUACGGAGGAACACCUGAGGCGAAGGCGGCUUACUGGACCGAUACUGACACUGAGACUCGAAAGCGUGGGUAGCAAACAGGAUUAGAAACCCCUGUAGUCC